rnacentral:rRNA from 2 species
UUCGGUGGUGAUAGCGGUGGGGACACACCCGUACCCAUUCCGAACACGGAAGUUAAGACCACCAGCGCCGAUGGUACUUGGGACGAGUGUCCCCGGGAGAGUAGGUCGCCGCCGGAU